GACGAACGCUGGCGGUGUGCUUAACACAUGCAAGUCGAACGGAAAGGCCCUGCGUUUGUGGGGUGCUCGAGUGGCGAACGGGUGAGUAACACGUGAGUAACCUGCCCUUGACUUUGGGAUAACUUCAGGAAACUGGGGCUAAUACCGUAUAGGAGCUCCUGCUGCAUGGUGGGGGUUGGAACGUUUCGGCGGUCGGGGAUGGACUCGCGGCUUAUCAGCUUGUUGGUGGGGUAGUGGCUUACCAAGGCUUUGACGGGUAGCCGGCCUGAGAGGGUGACCGGCCACAUUGGGACUGAGAUACGGCCCAGACUCCUACGGGAGGCAGCAGUGGGGAAUAUUGCACAAUGGGCGGAAGCCUGAUGCAGCAACGCCGCGUGCGGGAUGACGGCCUUCGGGUUGUAAACCGCUUUCGCCUGUGACGAAGCGUGAGUGACGGUAAUGGGUAAAGAAGCACCGGCUAACUACGUG
rnacentral:rRNA from 1 species